UUAAACAAUAACAAGUAUUUCUUAAGAAAUUCGAGAUUAUACAUUAUUAUCUUUGCAAAUGGAUGGAGGUUAUCGUAAGUUCCUUGUAUAAUUACAUACAUCAUCAUGCUUUCUUGGCAUUCAUUUUUACGUUCUUGCUGCAAACUCAUCUUAAAAGAAUGAAGGUCACAUUGGUGCUGUUAGUUCUGGCGUGUGCCAUUAGCCUCGCCUACGGAGACCUAGUCUGCGGUUCAAGCUACUGCAAA